rnacentral:rRNA from 1 species
UACGAAGGGGGCUAGCGUUGCUCGGAAUUACUGGGCGUAAAGCGCACGUAGGCGGCUUUCUAAGUCGGGGGUGAAAUCCUGGAGCUCAACUCCAGAACUGCCUUCGAUACUGGAGAGCUCGAGUCCGGGAGAGGUGAGUGGAACUGCGAGUGUAGAGGUGAAAUUCGUAGAUAUUAGCAAGAACACCGAUGGCGAAGGCAGCCCCCUGGGCUGAGAUUGACGCUCAGGCACGAAAGCGUGGGGAGCAAACAGG